rnacentral:lncRNA from 1 species
AGAAAGUGCUAGGCACGUAGGCGUUCAGGAGACAGUCACGGUACUCGUUUCCAGACAGAAGUCAUGAGGAACAAGAGGGAAGGUGCUUUCCCGUGUGCAGCGCUUGGGGAGACUCACACAGACAGAGGAUCUGGCAUGACAGGGAAAGGAGGAAAUGGCUUCUGUUAAUCUCUCCUUCAGCUUCUCCCGCCCUUCCUAUGCACCCUUUCUGUUUCCCUUUCCAGUUCUCACGGUGACUCAAGGAACAACGUGUGAAAUGAAAGACCUCAGGUGAUGUAUUGGCUCUUGACAGCUCUUCAGAAGAAAAUACCUCCUGCCUGUUCUGUUCAGUCCUGGUGCAGGUGAGUCACUGCCUUGCCAGCCAGGCAAGUAUUUUAAGAAACAAAAUCUAAGCCGGAACCAGCAGAGAAAUACAAGGGAUGGAUUAGCGCCAUUAGCUUUGAUGGUGUCUUGUUGUCAUGGUGCUAGGAAAAUCACUAUCAUUUAGAGUCCCACUCACCAGCUGUUUUGCUGGAAUUUUUGACAUGAGAGGCUGGUGGCCACCCUAACACAGGCGUGGGACAUGGGUGUGCACACACACGUACACCUG